UACGGGGGGGGCAAGCGUUGUUCGGAAUUACUGGGCGUAAAGGGCUCGUAGGUGGCCAACUAAGUCAGACGUGAAAUCCCCAGGCUCAACUUGGGAACUGCGUCUGAUACUGGAUGGCUUGAAUUCGGGAGAGGGAUGCAGAAUUCCAGGUGUAGCGGUGAAAUGCGUAGAUAUCUGGAGGAAUACCGGUGGCGAAGGCGGCUGCCUGGCCCAAUACUGACACUCAGGUGCGACAGCGUGGGGAGCAAACAGG
rnacentral:rRNA from 1 species